CUACGUGCCAGCAGCCGCGGUAAUACGUAGGUGGCAAGCGUUGUCCGGAAUUAUUGGGCGUAAAGCGCGCGCAGGCGGAUAGGUCAGUCUGUCUUAAAAGUUCGGGGCUUAACCCCGUGAUGGGAUGGAAACUGCUGAUCUAGAGUAUCGGAGAGGAAAGUGGAAUUCCUAGUGUAGCGGUGAAAUGCGUAGAUAUUAGGAAGAACACCAGUGGCGAAGGCGACUUUCUGGACGAAAACUGACGCUGAGGCGCGAAAGCCAGGGGAGCGAACGGGAUUAGAUACCCUGGUAGUCCACGCUGUAAACGUUGGGCACUAGGUGUGGGGGCCACCCGUGGUUUCUGCGCCGUAGCUAACGCUUUAAGUGCCCCGCCUGGGGAGUACGGCCGCAAGGCUAAAACUCAAAGGAAUUGACGGGGGCCCGCACAAGCGGCGGAGCAUGCGGAUUAAUUCGAUGCAACGCGAAGAACCUUACCAAGGCUUGACAUGC
rnacentral:rRNA from 1 species